UACAGAGGUGGCGAGCGUUGUUCGGAUUCAUUGGGCGUAAAGGGUGCGUAGGUGGUUUGAUAAGUUGGAUGUGAAAUGCCACAGCUCAACUGGGGAAUUGCAUCCAAAACUAUCUUACUUGAGGAUCUCGGGAAGAGAAUAGAAUUCUCGGUGUAGCGGUGAAAUGCGUAGAUAUCGAGAAGAAUACCUGUGGCGAAGGCGGUUCUCUACCAUAUUCCUGACACUAAAGCACGAAAGCGCGGGGAGCAAACGGG
rnacentral:rRNA from 1 species